rnacentral:lncRNA from 1 species
GACCAAGUUCCUUUGUGUUUCAGAGGGUCCUCCGCGGAAGGGCAGCUGAAUGGACUCCAAAGCAGCCUUAACCCUGCAGCCUUUGUGCCCAUCACCAGCUCUACAGGAUCUUUGGAUACUCCCCAAGUUAUUUUCGCCACAUCCAAACCCUUGCCCACACAAUCUGAAGCCCUUGCUGCAGUUAUAGGACAGAGAAAAUCAAAGUCGGUGAAGUCAGGGCCAAUUUAAGGUAACGAUCCUGCUCACACUAAAAUAUGAACCACAAACACACAGAGAAACAACCUGUUCACCACUCCUGGGUGCAUGAUUGAGGGUGAAGCAUCCACCAGCACUUCAAGGGGUCCAUAGUAUUUUUUUUUUUUUGCUGCCUCAAAGUCCCCAAAGCCUUCGAGCAGAAGUGGCAGUAGAUGGUUGCUAAUCAGCCAAUGCAGACUUUCACUGGGACAACAGGAAAGCAGAUCUUCUGGGUUUUGAUGGAACUUGGCAGUGGGGACAUUCAGCUGAUGCAUUAUAUACCCCGUCAGAGCACACUUGUAUCUUUUACCUUCCCUUUGCCCCAUGCCCCCAAACUGCUUAAGUCUUCUCUGUCCCUUUACUGCUGCUGCACAGAGAUGAUAUAAAAGAGGCUCUUUGGCUAUUUGCAUUUUGCUUCCUCUUCUUUUCCAGAUUACAGUAUGACGCUUUAUUUUCUUUGUACAAGCUUAAAAUUUCAACAUCAUCAUGCGCCAAAGUUGUUCCUCCCUUUUCGGAGGAUCUAGGGGGAAAGAGGAGCAUUCAUCACAAGUUUCCUAGAGAGAGGAGACAAAUCGGUGUGCUGUUGACAACAUGAGCCAGGGUAAAG